rnacentral:tRNA from 1 species
GUGCCUAUAGUUUAGUGGUAAAACCCCGGUUUGUGGAACCGGCGUCGAGAGUUCGAUCCUCUCUAGGCACCCCA